GUGAUGCAGGAUGGGCUUGGCCUAAAUGUGCAGAAACAGCUGAGACUGAAUCAUUUGUCUUCUAGGUGACCCUGAAGACGGGGCUGCCAAGUGCUGUGACCAGACUUGUGUGACAAUAGCAAUGCUUACAGCAGCUGUGCAGGGGCUGCUGGUGCUGAGCUGGUGCCCAGGUGGCUGUGGGAGGUGCUGGUGAUCUGCAGGCUGGGAUACUCCUGCUCACAAAUCCAGUCCUUGAGCCAGGCUUCACAUCCUCCUUGUGCCCUGCAGCUGUGUGCAUCAAGCCUUGGCUGGAGCAGGCGGUAUAGGCAGCUUUCCACAAAACUCCCAGAAGAGCAAGAAGUCACUCGAGGUCCCGAGGGAGCAAAAGGCACACCCAAAGUGAUGAUAUUCCUGCAUCAGGAUCCAAGACUGCUGGUUGUCCUUGGAGUUGGGCUGCAAGAAAUCCCACUGAAAUGGGAAGGAGGCAAGGGAGGGAAGAGGCAAAGCAAAGAUGGAGAGAGGCAUAGAGCUGGCUACAAGGAGAGACUGAGGUUACAGAAGAUUUGUUUUGAGGAAAGGCAGUGCCAGGGAAAACUCUGCAUGAUCCAGGCUUGGCCAUCCCUGCUGCCAGCUGCAGAAAUGACUGCCAUUCUGAGCACCAGUGGGGAGCAGGGGUUUAUCCCUGCUGGGGACACCCCCUUUCUGCAAGGAAGCAGAGACUGGACUCUCCUUACUGAAGCCAAAGUCAUCUUUGCCAUUCCAGUGAAAGAAAAGCAUGAACCUCUUGAUGUGAGCACCUCUGUUCCCUUCAGACAUCUUGAGCGUCCCUCAUGGAGAAUUUGGGAUGAGUGGGGUGGAGCUGUCACAGUAAAGGUCCCUUUUCCUGCAAGGUGGCUGCCCUUCAGACAGAUUUCUGUGCUUCUAGAAGGAGAGUUUGAGGCUUCCACACCUCAGGGAUGUGGCCCCACUCUGCACAGGCUGUGGUGGGGUACAGGACAGGCUUUUCUCAGCAGUGGCUUCUCGUGGGGGCUGGUUCUCCGUGGGAGUGUGUUUGUUUCCUUUUGAGUUUAUCAGCUGUCACCUGCAAUUCUUAUUAAUUAUGGCAGUACUGCCAGCUGCUUCUGGCUAUGUGGGCAGCACCAUUUAUGUGCUUUUCACUGCCUAAAUGCUGCACUGCUGACUGGACUAUUUCCUGAUAAUAUCUUUUGCUGUGUUUCUGAGGAAGCUGAUCCCAGACCUCUCUUUUUCCUAAUUCAGGACCCCCUUUCCCAGCCUGACAUGCUCUUGUUCCUGGGCAGGGUGCCAUGGUUCUCCUGCAGGGUGGCUGUGCUGAUUUGGUAACCUGCUUGCUCACAGCCUUAGCUGAACUUGGCCCUGGCUUUCUUGGCCAGCCUGGGUGUGCAUGCUCCUUUGAGGCAGAGAAAGGGAAUGAGCUCUGCAGCUGCUGAUGGCUGCAGCUACCAGCAGUGAUGCAGUUCUUGUGUCAGCUCCUGUUUCCUCUUUCCAGAAAGGCAAAUUGCUAUCACUGAGCUGUCAGUGAUAUGGACAGAGGCCAGGAUUUGGGCUGGCUGUGUGAUUAUAUGAAGGCUCUUGCUUUAUGUGCCAGUUGGGAAUUACCAGCAGCAGUGCUAAACGCAUUUCUGGUGGUCAAGGCUUUUGGCAGUGCUGAUGAGAAUUCAGCUGGUUUUAUGCUCUGCUGUUGAGGUGCUGCUUUCAUACAAACACCCUUCUCGAGCCCAAGGGUGCAUCUUUUCCCCAGGAUUUAUUUUUAAUAUAGGAACUUGUCAGAGAAAGGGGCAGCAAUGCUCUGCAGUGUUUUCUGGUGUAUCUGCAUGAACAGCUGGGCUCAGGCUGGACAUGAGUGAGGAGAACCUGCAACAGGACCUUUGGAUGUGACUGGUUUCAGACAAUAGCUUAAAUAACAUAAUUUAACACAGCAAUGUGAAGUCCACAGAUCACUAAUUCUCUGUACUUGAAAAUACAGCUGCUUCUUCUCCUAUUCCCCAUCUUAAACUCCAUGCUGCAGCUUGACCUCAGUCAGUCCCUCCCUUUUGUAUCCUCUGGGUGGCCACUGAUAUUUUUUUUAAACUCUGAACAGUGCCUGCUUGAUGGGCUGUAAGCUCAGCCUUUCAAAAUACAUCUUUGCCCACCAAAAGUCUUCUUCUAUUGUAGAUAUUCUGAGUUCAGUCAGAGAGAAAACAAAGGUUUCUAACCAGGCAGAAACCUGGGAAACAGUUGAGAAAGAAUGUAAAUUCUUUAUCUCUCUUGUUGUUCACACUGUUUAUAAAUAAGUUCUGCCACUCUGCAUCAUUCACUGCACACCAAUGGUUGAGAUGGUUUUACUUUGGGACCAAUAGAAUUGGUCUGGACUAUGCUGACUAUAAAAGAGCAAUAUAUUUGAAAUAAAUCAGA